rnacentral:rRNA from 1 species
UACGGAGGGUGCAAGCGUUAAUCGGAAUUACUGGGCGUAAAGCGCACGCAGGCGGUUGGAUAAGUUAGAUGUGAAAGCCCCGGGCUCAACCUGGGAAUUGCAUUUAAAACUGUCCAGCUAGAGUCUUGUAGAGGGGGGUAGAAUUCCAGGUGUAGCGGUGAAAUGCGUAGAGAUCUGGAGGAAUACCGGUGGCGAAGGCGGCCCACUGGUCCGGUACUGACGCUGAGGUGCGAAAGCGUGGGGAGCAAACAGG